rnacentral:rRNA from 1 species
GACAGAGGGUGCAAACGUUGUUCGGAAUUACUGGGCGUAAAGCGAGUGUAGGCGGUUUUGUAAGUCGGGUGUGAAAGCCCUGGGCUCAACCCAGGAAGUGCACUCGAGACUGCAAGGCUAGAGUAUCGGAGAGGUUGGUGGAAUUCUCGGUGUAGAGGUGAAAUUCGUAGAUAUCGAGAGGAACACCGGUGGCGAAGGCGGCCAACUGGACGAAUACUGACGCUGAGACUCGAAAGCGUGGGGAGCAAACGGG